UACAGAGGUCUCAAGCGUUGUUCGGAUUCAUUGGGCGUAAAGGGUGCGUAGGUGGCAUGGUAAGUUGAAGGUGAAAUCUCGGAGCUCAACUCCGAAACUGCCUUCGAUACUGCGGUGCUUGAGGACUGGAGAGGAGACUGGAAUUCAUGGUGUAGCAGUGAAAUGCGUAGAGAUCAUGAGGAAGACCAGUGGCGAAGGCGGGUCUCUGGACAGUUCCUGACACUGAGGCACGAAGGCCAGGGGAGCAAACGGG
rnacentral:rRNA from 1 species